rnacentral:siRNA from 1 species
UGAGCUUUCAGGGAAGAGUAUCGG